GGGCUAUUAGUUCAGUUGGAUAGAACGUCUGACUACGAAUCAGGAGGUCGUAGGUUCGAGCCCUACAUGGCUCG